GCGCCUGCGGCGGACCCGGCACGGAACCUGAUAACAGCUUCGCAGGCAGCGGAUCCGUGUACGGUCUGGUACUUCCCGGAAUCUUCCGGGCUUUAAUGCCUUCU
rnacentral:sRNA from 1 species